GGCGGUGAGGGGUAAGGGGAGGAGUAACCUUUGUCAAAACAUACUGUUCUGGAGGUUUACGCGUGGAGUGAUGCUGCGACGCCCCCACUCAUCUCUCACUAACCAGGAUGAAAGGAACAGUCCCCCCCUCAGUGGAAUGGAAUGUUCCGCCUGAAGUGGAUCUAUCCGGGCCAGUUACCAGUUACUGGGGGGCACGUGUGGGCACCGGUCUGGUUCUCAGACCCUGGUAGAUUCAAGUUUGAGUCCUGGCAAGACCAGAAAGGCAGUGAGGAAGUGAGGCUCUCUGCUGGGGUUCAGCCUAAGACCACCAGAGAAUUUGCUCCUGCUCCCUGAAAUCUCACUGGGUGCCAGGGUCAGCAGAAGCCUAAGCAGAAACCCCAGGGCCCCCACAGCAUGUGCCCACCAGCCUGACUUUCUGGUCACACCCACCCUGGAGGGCAGGGCUGCUUUCUGCCCCACCUCCCCUUGAACCAAGGCAGAUUGGUCCGGGCAGGGCCACCAACUCUCCCUCCCCCAUAUUCCUGGGCUAGAAGCAGACAAAGCUUCACAAGUAGGGAACAUAGAAAAGGAAUCUCUCCAGCGAAACAGAAACUGAAAGGUUGCACCACAUAUUUGAAAAAUUCUAAACCGAGGCUAGAAUAAGGCAGUAGUGCUAACAGAGAGAGAGAGUGAGCACGGAACACAGCCCGUCCUGACAGGCCUGUUCACACGGCCGCUUCCUGAACAACUCUGACCUCAUCAUAAGCCCCCAUGGCCAGGCUCAAAUGAAAAAAAAUGGCAUUAUUAUUGUGCCCAGAUGUGGACUUAAGUACUUAGGGGUCAGCAAUGUAUUUGCAAAUGGUUCAGAGGAAAAAUUAUAUAGAAAGAGAAAAAGCAGACAUGAUAAAACACUAACAACUGUUCGAUCAAGGGUGUUUGCUUUAAAACACAGGAAAUGCUCUAAAUCCUAUUACUGGGGAGAAAAACCCAAGCCCAUGCUCCCCACACAGCACUUCUCUUGCUCUGAGGUGUGGGGGAGCAAGCAGGAGCUGCUUGCAUGGUAACCCACACACCUGCUGCUGCUGCUUCACACAUAGCAACUCAAGACCCAAGCACUCGGCCAAGGUGUAUCCGGCACUCUGUCUGCCUGGCCCCUGGCUGGGGGCCAGUGUUUGUGCCUGAUGGGAUAGGCCGACUGCCAACCACGGCUCAGCUACACUGCAACCACUCUGCAGCUACAGGCCCUCCCAUCUCCAUGGAGUUACCUCUGAGGCUUGCAAAAGAAGAGCUGUGUGGACUGCUUCCUCCCCAAAGGGUCCCCCAUUUCCAUCAGGCCAGCUUUCCCACAAUAUGCACCUCUGUCCUCAGAUCAAGGCAGAAAGAACACCUCAGAAAUACCAGAGACCAAGGAGAAUCUGUCACCAGAUGUCAUCCUAGACGCUCAGAGGAACCCUGUUACUGUGCACUCCCCAAAACACCUGACAUCUGACAUCACCCGGUAACUUUAGGUGUACAGAUGCUACACACCUUCCACCCUUCUCAUUAAGAAAUACUGAACGAAGGCUUUAUUCCCCCUUUUUGACUUAUGGGGACGAAAGGACAGCAUCUCUGAAAUCAUAACUGCCACACAAAUGCAGAACCUACCACAGCUCCAGGCACACCUGGCUGCCUUCCCUCCCGUGUGUGCUGUUCACUCAAAGCCAGCUCUCUGCAGAGGCCCGUGUCGACCACUCUCCUCCUGAAGGCCAAAUGCCAGGCCUGGGCAGCCCGAAUGAACAGGCUCUCUGACCAUGAACCCCAAGCUUUUCCAGGACGUUAUGAGCCCUGAAAAGAAACUCGUGAAAGCAGCUCCUCCUCUCCUGAUCUCUGCCUGCCUGUGGCUCCUGCUCUAAGGGCGGAGCGUCCUCGCGGUCUCACCAGGGCUGAGAGCCUUGUUCCUGAGAAGCAUGGGUUCCUCGUUCUGUACCAUUCCGUCUAAAUGUUCAAUUUAUAAGUACUCUGAGCCAAUAUAAACAGAGAAUAAACAAGAGAAAAAUGUUGAA